rnacentral:rRNA from 1 species
GACGUAGGGGGCGAGCGUUGUUCGGAUUUACUGGGCGUAAAGCGCGCGUAGGCGGCUAGAUAAGUCGGGUGUGAAAUCCCUCGGCUUAACCGAGGACCCGCAUCCGAUAUUGUUUGGCUUGAGUUUAGGAGAGGAAAGCGGAAUUCCUAGUGUAGCGGUGAAAUGCGUAGAUAUUGGGAGGAACACCGGUGGCGAAGGCGGCUUUCCGGACUAGCACUGACGCUGAGGCGCGAAAGCUAGGGGAGCGAACGGG